CCUACGGGAGGCAGCAGUAAGGAAUAUUGGUCAAUGGGCGCAAGCCUGAACCAGCCAUGCCGCGUGCAGGAAGACGGCCCUAUGGGUUGUAAACUGCUUUUGAACAAGAGAAAACCUCGGUACGUGUACCGAGCUGAUAGUAUUGUUAGAAUAAGCAUCGGCUAACUUCGUGCCAGCAGCCGCGGUAAGACGAAGGAUGCAAGCGUUAUCCGGAUUCAUUGGGUUUAAAGGGUGCGUAGGCGGCCUGAUAAGUCAGUGGUGAAAUCUCUCAGCUUAACUGAGAAACUGCCAUUGAUACUGUCGGGCUUGAGUACAGAUGAUGUGGGCGGAAUAUGACAUGUAGUGGUGAAAUACUUAGAUAUGUCAUAGAACACCGAUUGCGAAGGCAGCUCACAAAACUAGUAACUGACGCUGAGGCACGAAAGUGCGGGGAUCAAACAGGAUUAGAUACCCUGGUAGUCCGCACCGUAAACGAUAGAUUACUCGUUGUUGGCAAUAUGACCGUCAGCGACCAAGACGAAAGCGAUAAGUAAUCCACCCUGGGGAGUACGCCGGCGAACGGUGAAACUCGAAAGGAAUUAGACGG
rnacentral:rRNA from 1 species